rnacentral:lncRNA from 1 species
AGGAUGGAACUGUUGGCAUAUUUUAUAUAUUAAAAAUAUUUACUUCUUUGUAGUGUUUAUUAUUAUAAUUAUUUCAUUCAUGAUAAUUAUUUUAUGCAAAUUUUUAUUUUGGCUAUUUUUUUCCAUAUAGAAUAUAUGUAAAUAGUGAUUUGAGUAUUUUAACAUUAAAAUUUUUUACUAGAUUUCAUUUUUUAUAUAGAGCAUUAAUUAAAAUAGAAAGAUAUAUCAAAAUUUUCCAGACUUCCAAUUGUUCAGCAACUUUGAGAGAUAUAUGAGUCCACCACUAGGAGACCUGUCUGCACCAAUAAUAUUGACCUGGAUAUAAUGUAACUUAUGUUACAACAUUUGCGACCAAGUAUUUAUUUUGUUCAGUAGUCUCACAAUGGUUAACAAUCCCAAAGAAUAUACAAAAUGUGAAGUUUUGUGUGAAACUCUGAAAAUCAGCCAAUAAGACUGGAAAUGCUUCAAUAAGCUUUUAGUAAUGAUACUCUAAGCUGUUCAGUUUUUCCAGUGGCAGGCAUACUUCAAAAAUGUCUGAAUGUCUGUUGAAGACAACAAUGAUGUAGGAUGACUGUCACUAUACUAUCUAGGCAUUUUCAACGUUAUUGGAAUUUCAAUUGAACCUGCCAGUAUAGCAGGUUCACUACAAAUUGAAAAUGUAUUCCAUCACUACUAAGUUCAUCUCCAAGUCUUUGAUAUUAGAUAGAAGCAACAUCAUCUGAAUGUCUGCUAUGAGCUAUGUGAUCAAGAAAAUGAGGACUCAACCUUUUUCUUGAAGGCCAUCACAGGUGAUAAAGGUUGAGUUUACUAAUUUGUCUCUGGAUGAUACUUUUAGUCUUUGCAGUGGAAGAACUCAUGAUUACAAAGACUGAAGAAGACAUGGCAAAUGAGGAGCAUAACAAAAAUCAUUUUAAUGGGUUUUUUUUACAUCAAAGAGUUUUUGCAUCUGAAAUUUACCAUAUGCAGUCAGUCAAUUCGACCUUUUUUGUUUUGAGACAGCUGAGAGAAGACAUUUUUUGCAAAAUAACCAAAACUCUUCUUGUAUUACACAU